CAGUUAAAUGCGAAUUUUAUAUAAACAACAAAUAAUGCUUUAGUUUAAGUAUGUCUCAUGCAACAUUUGGGACAUACUUAUACUAAAAGUUAUUCAUUGUUUAUAUGAACAUCACAUUUAACUAGGCAUCUUGUA
rnacentral:miRNA from 1 species